rnacentral:rRNA from 1 species
GAUGAACGCUGGCGGCGUGCCUAAUACAUGCAAGUCGAGCGAAUAGACGAGGAGCUUGCUCCUCUGACGUUAGCGGCGGACGGGUGAGUAACACGUGGAUAACCUACCUAUAAGACUGGGAUAACUUCGGGAAACCGGAGCUAAUACCGGAUAAUAUAUUUAUGCGCAUGGUUCAAUAUUGAAAGACGGUUUUGCUGUCACUUAUAGAUGGAUCCGCGCCGCAUUAGCUAGUUGGUAAGGUAACGGCUUACCAAGGCAACUAUGCGUAGCCGACCUGAGAGACUGAUCGCCCACACUAGAACUGAGACACGAUCCAGACUCCUACGGGAGGCAGCAGUAGGAAAUCUUCCGCAAUGGGCGAAAGCCUGACGGAACAACGCCGCGUAGAUGAUGAAGAUCUUCGGAUCGUAAAACUCUGUUAUUAGGGAAGAACAAAUGUGUAAGUAACUAUACACGUCUUGACGGUACCUAAUCAGAAAGCCACGGCUAACUACGUG